CCUACGGGCGGCAGCAGUGAGGAAUAUUGGUCAAUGGACGAGAGUCUGAACCAGCCAAGUAGCGUGAAGGAUGACUGCCCUAUGGGUUGUAAACUUCUUUUAUAUGGGAAUAAAAUGUUCCACGUGUGGGAUUUUGUAUGUAUCAUAUGAAUACGGAUCGGCUAACUCCGUGCCAGCAGCCGCGGUAAUACGGAGGGUCCGAGCGUUAUCCGGAUUUAUUGGGUUUAAAGGGAGCGUAGGUGGAUUGUUAAGUCAGUUGUGAAAGUUUGCGGCUCAACCGUAAAAUUGCAGUUGAAACUGGCAGUCUUGAGUACAGUAGAGGUGGGCGGAAUUCGUGGUGUAGCGGUGAAAUGCUUAGAUAUCACGAAGAACUCCGAUUGCGAAGGCAGUUCACUGGACUGCAACUGACACUGAGGCUCGAAAGUGUGGGUAUCAAACAGGAUUAGAUACCCCUGUAGUC
rnacentral:rRNA from 1 species